rnacentral:rRNA from 1 species
AGUCGAGCGCGAAAGAGGGCUUCGGCUCUUGAGUAGAGCGGCAGACGGGUGAGUAACACGUGGGCAACCUGCCCCUGGGUGUGGGAUAACCGCUCGAAAGGGUGGCUAAUACCGCAUAAGACCACGGGUCUGCGGAUCUGGGGUUAAAGGUUCCGAUCGCCUAGGGAGGGGCCCGCGGCCGAUUAGCUAGUUGGUGAGGUAACGGCUCACCAAGGCGACGAUCGGUAGCUGGUCUGAGAGGAUGAUCAGCCACACUGGUACUGAGACACGGACCAGACUCCUACGGGAGGCAGCAGUGGGGAAUAUUGCGCAAUGGGCGAAAGCCUGACGCAGCAACGCCGCGUGGGUGAUGAAGGCCUUCGGGUCGUAAAGCCCUGUCAGGUGGGAAGAACCCGGCUUUCGGGCCGCUGACGGUACCACCGAAGGAAGCACCGGCUAACUCCGUGCCAGCAGCCGCGGUAAUACGGAGGGUGCAAGCGUUGUUCGGAAUUACUGGGCGUAAAGGGCGCGUAGGCGGCCGGGCAAGUCCGGUGUGAAAGCCCGGGGCUCAACCCCGGAAGUGCAUUGGAUACUGCCUGGCUUGAGUUCGGAAGAGGAGGGCAGAAUUCCCGGUGUAGGGGUGAAAUCCGUAGAUAUCGGGAGGAAAACCAGUGGCGAAGGCGGCCCUCUGGGACGAAACUGACGCUGA